rnacentral:rRNA from 1 species
CGCCUACGGGGGGCAGCAGUGGGGAAUAUUGCACAAUGGGGGAAACCCUGAUGCAGCAACGCCGCGUGAGUGAAGAAGUAUUUCGGUAUGUAAAGCUCUAUCAGCAGGGAAGAAGAUGACGGUACCUGAGUAAGAAGCCCCGGCUAACUACGUGCCAGCAGCCGCGGUAAUACGUAGGGGGCAAGCGUUAUCCGGAUUUACUGGGUGUAAAGGGAGCGCAGACGGUGAGACAAGUCUGAAGUGAAAGCCCGGGGCUCAACCCC